UCCUUAUGAUUUGGGCCACACACGUGCUACAAUGGCGUAAACAAAGGGAAGCGAACCUGUGAGGGUGGGCAAAUCUCAAAAAUAACGUCUCAGUUCGGACUGUAGUCUGCAACUCGACUACACGAAGCUGGAAUCGCUAGUAAUCGCGGAUCAGAAUGUCGCGGUGAAUACGUUCCCGGGUCUUGUACACACCGCCCGUCAACCAUGGGUAGGAACCNA
rnacentral:rRNA from 1 species